rnacentral:rRNA from 1 species
AUUAAAGUAACAAAGGGCACACAAGGGAUGCCUAGGUAGAAAGAGCCGAAGAAGGACGUGGUAAGCUGCGAUAAGCUUGGCGAAGUUGCAAACGAACGUGGAUGCCAAGAUUUCCGAAUGGAGCAAUCUGUAAAGAGUCAUGUCUUUACACGAAAGAGGGAACCGGGUGAACUGAAACAUCUAAGUAAUCCGAGGAAAAGAAAGUAACAACGAUACCCUAAGUAGCGGCGAGCGAACGGGGUAGAGCCUAAACCGUAUUCAUGUCAAGGAUGCAGCCGUUGUGGAUAUGGGGUAGCGGGAAAGAGAGAGAAAGAACUGCAAGCUAUUUCGCAGACGUAAGCAAAGGAACAAGAAAGAUCUGGAAAGGUCUACCGUAGAAGGUGAAAGUCCUGUAUUGGUAGUUUUCUUGCGCUGUAUCUCUUCUCCCAAGUAAU